ensembl:lncRNA
GAACUUAAAUACUUAAGGUGGAAAAACUAAAGAAAUCUCAACUUCCAAGUUGGUGAUUUAAUAAAACUUAAUACUACUAUAGGAGCUUCAGAGCAAAGGAGGUGGCUUAAUGAUCCUGAAGGGAUUUCUUCUGGUGGUAGCUUUUGUAUUAUCAAGUAAGAUUCUUUUUUCGGCUGUAUAUAAGCAAGAUUGUUUGGUUUAUUCUUUUCUUUUUUAGCGUAGGAAAAGUUUGUUGUUAAGGUAUGCUUCAAAAUUAUUGUUAAUUGUAUUUUGAAUUUACAUCUAAGCCUUGUAAAUCAUAACUGAUAAGAGGGGGUGGGCUUUUGUUGAUGAGGGAGGGGAAACCUUUUUUUUUUGUAGACUUUUUUCAGAUAACAUCUUCUGAGUCAUAACCAGCCUGGCAAUCUGAUGGCCUAGAUGGAGAGGGGAACAGCUCCUUGGUGAAUGAUAAGUAAAGGCAGAAAAGAUUGUAUUUCAUACCUACAUUGGGGAAAAAAGCAUAACCCUGAGAUUUUCUUCUGAUGAACACAUUGUCUGCACAUGCAAAAAAAAAAGCAAAUGAAAACUACCAAUUUAAAGUUAAUGGAAUCUACUACUAUAAAGUUAAUGGCUUAUCAAGCUGUAUCCACAAAAAUAAUGAAUUGAUGAAAAAUAAAAAUAACGAUACAAUGAAGAUCAAAAUGUCAAUCUCAAUACUGCUUUUACAAAAGCAGAAUUAAAAAAGCGAAAUGAAAAUAGCGCUACAUAUUAAUCCUGGAAAAAAAAGAAGCUGAAAUAAUUGAAAUGAGUGGGAUCAAGUGAAUUGAGAGGAGGAAGAGGCUGUGCUGUUUGCCAAUCUUUCGUUUGCCUCAGACAGGUUUUUCUUCAUUAUCAGAAGAGUUGCUUCAUUUCAUCUGGGAGCAGAAAACAGCAGGCAGCUGUUAACAGAUAAGUUUAACUUGCAUCUGCAGUAUUGCAUGUUAGGAAUAAGUGCUUACCUUUGUGAAGAGCUGUGGAAGUCCUAGGUCCCUUACCUAAGGGAUUCCAGGAUUGUGAGGCAUCGUCCCAUCCAGCCUUUUAAAAUUAGACAGGACAGCGUUCCUGUGGGCUUUGAUGAUGGGACAGCACAUUUCAUUCAAGAGGCAAGUAAUUCCUUAAAGCCUCUUGAGAUUAGCAAAGAUAAUGUUUAUAAAACUAAGAACAUUUGUUUAGCCUUGAAUCUGACAGCCCUAUUUAAGGGAUAGUAUUGUACUGUUAAGAAUUCAGAUUUUGUUAAUCUUGCUAAAAUUCAAAUGUUACGUGUAUUGUGCAGAAAACCAUUAAAUCAUUCAAAAUAAAAUACUUUUAUUUUUAGAGAAUGUAUGCUUUUAGGAAGCUGUCUCCUUAUUUAAAUAAAACAUUGUUUGUCUGUAGUUAGUGUUGGGGCAAUCUGGGGGGGGUUUCUUCUCAUCUUUCAGAAACUUUGUCUGCGAACACUCUUUAAUGGACAAGAUCAGGAAAUUGAGCAGAAGAACGAAUUUAAUUUAAGGCAGGAAAAAAUUUUGUCCUUCGUAAAAGUGAUGAGCAUUUAAUAAUUCCAGGCACAUGGCAAUAGAGGCCCUCUAAAUAAGGAAUAAAUACCUCUUAGACAGGUGGGAGAUUAUGAUCAGAAGAACAGGUAACUUAACUCCUACAAUGUUUGCAGAAAGUCAGGAGUCUGUCUAGUGGUUAAACUAGAGUAAUGGAAUGUACUGUCCACAUUUCCAGUUUGCAUGUUAACUUUGCUUAGUCAUCUCAUCUGGUGUUAGCCAGUGUUCACACUGUUGGCCUACUUUUUAGAUACCUGGUGGGGGGGUGGUUG